rnacentral:rRNA from 1 species
UACGUAGGGGGCAAGCGUUGUCCGGAAUCAUUGGGCGUAAAGCGCGUGUAGGCGGCCAGAAAAGUCCGCUGUGAAAACUCGAGGCUCAACUUCGAGCUGUCGGUGGAAACUUUCUGGCUAGAGUCCGGAAGAGGAGAAUGGAAUUCCUGGUGUAGCGGUGAAAUGCGCAGAUAUCAGGAAGAACACCCGUGGCGAAGGCGGUUCUCUGGGACGGUACUGACGCCGAGACGCGAAAGCGUGGGGAGCGAACAGG